AAAAUAGAUUUUGUUCUUCCAUGUAUACUGACUAUUUUGUGUGUUAUGUAAUUGUAAGGGCCUUGACUAAUAAUGUUGGGAGGCAAAGCAAUCUAUUGGUUAUUAGGCAGGAAAUUUCAAUCUGAAGGCAUACCCACGGGAUGUUACUUUCAACAAGGUGGAGAAGUUAAUAUAACCAUGAUUCUUAAGACUGCAUACCGGAAGUCAAUUUCUAUAUUGGUUGAUUGGAUAGGUCAUGAAGUGAAUAUGACCAUGACACACAUCGUAUUUCGAACUUAUGCCCCUACUCACUUCAGAGAGACUUCAAUGGGAUAUUUGUACUGCCCCUUGCACUACUUCAAGCUGUUUAUCACAGGAGUUUGAGGUGGUUACUUAUGUCUAGCAGUGAAAGUAGUUUGACUAUUGUCAUUAAUAUAUUACCGUAGAUCUUAUGAUUUUUGAGAAUAUUGUGA